AAGGGGGUCGAACUGGCCAGUCCGACGAAGCGCCCGCGCGGAAUCCCUCGGGAUGAAGCGCGGAUGACUGAGUGGCGGACGGGUGAGUCACACGUGGGCAACCUGCCCCGUGCCGGGGGACAACAGCCGGAAACGGCUGCUAAUACCGCAUGAUCCGGGAGGGCCGCAUGGCCCUGCCGGGAAAGCUCCGGCGGCACGGGAUGGGCCCGCGUCUGAUUAGUUUGUUGGCGGGGUAACGGCCCACCAAGACUGCGAUCAGCAGCCGGCCUGAGAGGGCGGCCGGCCACAUUGGGACUGAGACACGGCCCAGACUCCUGCGGGAGGCAGCAGUGGGGAAUAUUGCACAAUGGGGGAAACCCUGAUGCAGCGACGCCGCGUGGGCGACGAAGCGCUCCGGCGCGUAAAGCCCUGUCAGCAGGGAAGAAAAAAGACAGUACCUGACCAAGAAGUCCCGGCUAACUACGUGCCAGCAGCCGCGGUAAUACGUAGGGGGCAAGCGUUAUCCGGAUUCACUGGGCGUAAAGGGAGCGCAGGCGGCACGGCAAGUCUGGUGUGAAAGCCCGGGGCCCAACCCCGGGACUGCAUUGGAAACUGCCGGGCUGGAGUGCCGGAGGGGUAAGCGGAAUUCCUGGUGUAGCGGUGAAAUGCGCAGAUAUCAGGAAGAACACCGGUGGCGGAGGCGGCUUACUGGACGGCAACUGACGCUGAGGCUCGAAAGCGUGGGGAGCAAACAGGAUUAGAUACCCUGGU
rnacentral:rRNA from 1 species